AACCUGCUGACAUGACUGAUCAUGGGGAUGAUGAGCUGUCCUCUAGGACAGGGAGUCCAGACGAGGAAGGUCGGGUCCCUGAGGAGAGAUCCUUGCUGCAUCAGAGUCUGGCCGUCAGGGAACUCAUCGACACCGAGGUCUCCUACUUACACGUGCUCCAGCUCUGUGCCUCGGACAUUAGGAGCCACCUGCAGCAGCUGCCGCAGGGAGAUCUGGAUGUCCUGUUCUCAAAUAUCGAUGAUAUCAUCAAGGUGAACAGCAAAUUGCUUCAUGAUCUGCAGGAGACAGCCUCCAGGGAAGAGGAACAAGUGCAGCUGAUUGGCAACUUAUUCCUGGAAUUCCAAGAGGAGUUGGAGCAAGUCUAUAAAGUGUACUGUGCCAGCUAUGAACAGGCCUUGCUGCUGGUGGAGGCCUACCGGAUGGAGCCACGGCUGCAGCGGGAGAUCCAGGACACCAUUGAGGCAGUGCUGCCUCAAGCUGGAUCCUCAGGCCUCAGUUUCUUGCUGGUAAUUCCUUUGCAGAGGAUUACCAAAUACCCAUUGCUGCUGCAGAAAAUUCUGGAGAACACACUCCCUGAUGCCAGUGCCUACCCUGUCCUUCAGAGGGCUACCUCUGCCCUCCAGGACGUGGUCACCAACAUCAAUGAGUACAAGAGGCGCAAAGAAGUGGCCUCCAAGUACACCAAGGUGGAGCAUCUGAGCCUCCGGGAGCGACUGGCCCGCAUCAAUAUGCACACCCUUUCCAAGAAGACCACCCGGCUGGGCCAGCUGCUGAAGCAGGAGGCGGGGCUCGUACCCAAGACAGAAGACAAGGAAUUUGAUGACUUAGAAGAGAGUUUCCACUGGGUGUCGCUGUGUGUGACUGAGCUGAAGAACAAUGUGGCUGCGUACCUGGAUAAUUUGGAGGCUUUCCUCCGCUUCCGGCCCCAGGAAUACGAUCUGGACAUCCCUGGGGGGCCUGUGGUGCAGUACUGUUACCUGGCAAGAGACCUGCAGCUCCAGACCUUCCCUGAGUUUAUGGGCACAUUGAGGCCCAGAAAGGUUGGAUGUCGUGCUAGAGGUCACAGCUGGUCAGUGAGGGUGGGACUGGAGCCCAGUCCUGCCACAUCCAAAGCCCCUUCUCCCUGUGCCCCGCCCUCUGCCACCUCCUUCCUCAACUCCCAAGUUCACCUCUCCCCACAGAAGCAGCGGCUGGAAGCCCUGGUGUGGCAGCCAUUGUGCAGCCUGGCCAAAGCCUUGGCCGGCCCUCAGAAUCUGAUCAAGAAGCGUCUGGACAAACUACUGGACUUUGAGAGGGUGGAAGAGAAGCUGUUGGAGGUGGGCAGCAUGACCUAUGAGGAAGAGGCGGCCCGGCACAUGUACGAGGCACUCAACUCCCUGCUAGUGGCUGAGCUCCCACAGUUUAAGCAGCUGGCCGUGCGGUGGCUGGGCCAGAUCCUGUGCACAUUUGUGACCCUCCAGAGGGACCUUGCAAAGCAAGUGCUGCAGAGAGCAGAGGGCAGUUUGGCCCAGCUUCCCCACCACCACCUCUCUGAUCCAGCCUUCAGGAAGCUGGUGGAGGAUGCACUGGGCCAGACCAGUCAUCAGCUUCACUCCUUUCAAGAGAACUUUGAGAAAGUGCUGCCACCUCCCACCACACAACCACUCCUUCCAGGGGCUGAACACCAGGUGCAGGCUCUCCUGAGCAGGUAUGGCCCAGGAAAGCUGUACCAGGUGACAAGCAACAUCAGCGGGUCUGGGACUCUGGACCUGACUUUGCCUCGGGGCCACGUCGUAGCCCUCCUUCAGGACAAGGACACCAAAGGCAACAGCAGCCGAUGGCUGGUGGACACUGGAGGAGUCGCUGGCUUCCUCCCCCAGGACCUACCUUCCAGCAUGGAAAAGUCAUUUUAGGAUCUGUUGUGGUAGGGCAGAGACUCAAAUACCUGGACUGGUGGGUAAGGAAAGAACUGGAUUCCACUCCUGGCAACAUCCCGAGGAGCUGGGUUCCUUAACAAUCCACUCACUUAACCUUGUUCUUCUGUUUUCUUAUCAGUAAUUUUUGAACUUAUGUUUUCUGUUUUUCUCAUCUGUAAAAUGGGUACAAUUCCUGUUCUGACAGGGUGAGUGAGAGGAUUAAAUGAAACACUUGUGAAUGGUGGCGGAUCACAACAGGAGCAUCACGGCUGUGCAGGGAGGAAAUAUGUGAACUCUGACCACUAGGUGGCAGCAGGGCUCUAGGAAUCACCUGAGAUUGGGCUGGGAGGCGCCACCUCAGCAAAUUGAAACGCCCACGGUGCUGGGCAGGUGGUGCAAAUGAGAGGAAGUGCCAGGUGAAAGACAUUAGGGAGUGGCAGGGACUGUGGUGGACCACAGCAUACAUAUUCCAUCUAAGGAGCUUGCAGCUUCUUGGCUUCAACCAGUGUUGCCACAUCAGAAUGAGGGCCCAGUGGUGCCAGAGAUUCUGAUUUUUCAAGAGAAGCCAGAAACCAGGGUUUUGUUUUGAUUUUUGAUGUGAAAUCUGUGUGGAGAUUGUGUGGGUCACAACAGGUCCCCCUUUUUGCAUCUUCUGCCACAGAGUGUGGGUUGGCUGCCCUGGUAGAGAAUCUCCUCUGAAGAAUUAGCUUCACAUCUGUUUUCUGUGAAAUGCCGUCAUGUGUCUCCACUUCACUCACUACUUCAUUAGAUGUUAAUUUUCCUUCCUUGAAUCUCUGGGGAGAACUGUUUCGUUUUCUGCUAUUGUUACUAUUGUUGUCAUCAAACAUUUAUUCAAUCGUGGGCCAUAUUUUCUGACCACCCAUGAGGCUCUCCAUAGUACCUAUUUCACAAGGUUCUUUUGAGGAAUAAAUGAGAUACUGAUAUAAUAUCACUUAGCCCAGCACCUGGCUCAUUAGCUCUCAAUAAAUAUUAUUAUGGGGACUUUAGAAAAGAUGGCAUGACAUUUGGAGGAAGGUUUGCAGGGCCUGCCUUUCUCUCUAUAUUUGGGAUGGUGACAAGGCCUGGCUACUCCCUUAUGUAGAUGAAGCCCCCUGGUUCCGCUCCUGAGGGCCUAGUAGAGGUUCGAUACAGCCCUUCCCUCAGAGGCUGCUGUCACACCCCAAAAGAUUCCUGGGACUUUCCCUUGUCCGGUUCCCUGGUGCUGCGUCUGGGUCAGGGUGGGCAGAUUUCCCCAUCCAGGGCAAUCCCAAUCUUGGGCAGGAGUGGCCCAGAUUCUCCUGCCUCUCCCCAGCGAGAGGGCUUUCUGCAGUCCAUUGCACCCGGACAAGUCAGGCAGGUACUCAGGCAAUAAUCAGGCAUGCAGAUGCGCUGGAGCAGCAACUCUGGUCAGAGGCUCAGGGCCCUUUACAUCCAGGAGCAUCUUCUCAGGGUGUUCCAAGGGGACCCAGCAGCUUUGGGGACAAAGACUCCUUGCUGGAGGCUCCACUGGCAGAUUCAGGAACAAGGAGAGGGUGAGAUCAGAUUUGUCCUUGAGGGCUCUGACUUAUGCUGGGCUCAGGAGCACCAGCUAAUGCUGUUCAGUUAGGUCUCAGGCCACCACCAUGCUUCCAGGAUACCUCAGGGUGGUUCUGGGUUCCCUGUUUGGGGCCCAUUUGCCUGUCUUCAGGGGUCUGGGCAUCCUUGAGGCCUGUGAGUAGAAAGAGAGCUCAGUGGCUGCAGGUUUGGGACAGCCCUGAGCCUUAGGAGGAUUGGGCCAGAGUGGGCAUAGGACUUGCAUCCACCCCUUCUGAGCAGCUCACAUCUCAGAGGUUGGUUAUUUGCUUGCUUGCUCUCACAUUUAUUCCCUGCCCAGCUCAGCUCUGUACUUCAGGGAACUACAUUGCCCAGGAUCCUUUGUUCUCUGGUUUUCUGGUGGGUUUGUCCAAUGGGAGGCACUGGCAGGGGGAAGGAGGGGAGAACCCAAGGUAUUUCUCCCUCUCUCUGCUUCAGGCAGCAUCUCUGCCUUGGCUGGUCUUCUCCAUGGUUCCCACUUCCACUGGAUGGUCCUUCCCUCUUGGUCUUAGGUCCCGUUGGACAGGCCUGGCUAUACUUCCAGUUUCUGUAAGACAGCUUCAGAUACUGGGCCCUAAUAACGCUGCCUCUUCCCUGCGUUCCUCCAACCUAAAGACUAGAGUGUCUUUUUGCUGUUGUUAAUCCCUGUGGUGAUUCUAGGAUCUUCUUUCACCUGUGUAACUUCCUCCCUAAGUCCCUCUGUUCACAAGGCAUGGAGUGGUUCUCUCUCUGACUGGACAGUGACUUUUGUGCAGCUCAGCAGCUAGGGAUACAGGGAGGGAGUGGGUAGUAGAGCUGGGGGGCUCCUAGGUACCUCUGCCCCUCAGGCUGCCGAGCCCUCAGAGAAGAUUGGGACCAUCACCAGGUCUGCUGUACCUUCCCUGGGUCAGGGAACAGUCCGACCCUCCCCACCCAGAUCUCUUGGAAGUGUCUUCAGCUAUAGACAGCAGCUGAGUGGGUCACGCUCCAGGGUCAGUGGCUGUGAGAAUCUGCCGAGCAGCCCUUGUUUGGGCCAACUGAAGCUGUUCUGCAGGGCCCAGAGAAGGACACAGAGGAGACCCAAGGGCCACUGUGUGACAGCAGAGCCAGGCUGUGGGCAGGAGGAGAGGGUCGCCUCCUUCCAGCCACAGUGCCUCGAGUCUGGCCCUGGCUCAGGAGGGAUGGUGAGCCCCCGGUCAGUGAGACGGGAAGUGGAGAUGAGGCUUCUGGCCAGGAAAAAGCCUGCUUGUCUUGAUUCUGGGGUCUCAGUGAUUCCAGGCACAUCAGCAGAGCCUUUGGUCUGGGGAAAGGCUAGUGCACUACUAGCAAUCACCACAGCUUCUGUUCACUUCUCACAGGGCUUUUUGAGGGUUACGUGAGGAAAUCCACUUUACGUGAUUAAUCCAGUGCUGGCACAUAGGAAGCUCUCAAGACCUGCGAACUAAAGAAAAACAAACAAGAAAACACAAAUCGCAACAGCAACCAGGCACUGUGGACCUUAUUCUGUAGGAUAAGCUGGUGUCUAGUUAGUACUGAGCCCCAGGCCUCUCCCCUGGAGCAGAGCUGGGGCUGGCAACACAGUUCCAGCUGCCAAGGCUAGGAAGAAGGCCGAGUCAGGUGAAGGAGUUGUGAGGUUGGGAGGUCACAGUGAUCUCAGGGCACACUCCCCAGAGACGUGGGGAUGAGCAGUAGGUGUCCAGAACCAUAAUGGGGCACUUGAGAACAGCUAUCACCUUGUGUCCAGGCAGGACAGAGAUCAAGGCUAGGUCAGAAAGCAGGCAGUAGGAUCCCAGUCUUUGGGUUGAGGUUCAAGUACUAGGCCCUGGGGACUUAAAGAUCAGGUCCACUAAAAAUACGAAGAUCCUGGCAAGAGGCAGGAUGGAGAGCUGGACACAGGGACUUCAUUUUGAGCCCCGGGGACCAGAGCUGCUGGAAAUCCUCCCAUCUGAUGACAGGAUUGAACCCAGGGAGCAAGAUGCGUUGGACGUGGGAGAGGGUCUGGGAUGAAGAGGCUGUGGUAAUCAGGAGCCCAGACUUCACAUUGCAAAAUGUCCAAAUUCAAAUCCUGACUCCACACUCACCAGCUGUGUGACCUCGUUGAACAAGUUACUUCAUGUCUCUAAAACCUCACUUUCCUCUUUGUGGGUAAACCAGGAAAUAGUCGUACCUCAGAGGGCCGUUGGAAUGUGGAAAUGGGAUCACGCGUGGAGGUUUUGGCAGUCUAGGACAUAUGAGUGCUGCUUAAAUGAUUGAUCCUCGAAGACACAGCUAUUUUUGCUGGCUCCCACCUCCUCCAAUGUACUCCUCCUAAGCUUUGCCAGCAGUGACCCCAGCCCGAGUCUUCUCUGGGCUAACACUCCUUGUACUUUCAACCUUUGCUCUAACGUCUGUGUUCCUGACCCUUCACCACCUCAGGCUCUGAAAAAAUAGCCCCUCACUGCCUGAGCUCUUUCCAAACUGAAAGCAAGUGGACGUCUUAAGAGGCCAAAGGUUGUUCCCCUGGGAAUGUAAUGUGACCACGUCCUCGGAUACUCCCUGGUGAUUAGAGCUCGCCAUCUUGAAUUACUUCAUCUUCAUCCUCCCAAGAAGCUUCUUCACAGCCCCAGGCCAAGCAGUGGAAGACAGCCUUGCUGAUAUGCCUUUGUUUCUGCAACAUUAACUUCAUUCAAACCAAUGAGCAGCCCUGAGAUGUGCAUUGUGGAGGUUAUUUGCCUGAGGAGGGUUGUGGGGCUCAGAGAGCUCCAGCACCUUGCUCAAGAUCACACAGCAAGUUAAUGGCCAAGCUGGAAGCAAGGAUCAAGGCUCCGAACUUCCAGUGCACUACUCUCUUGAAGGAGAUCUGGCUGGGGGCUUGUACAAACCAGCUGUGCCUAAUUCUCCCCAGAACUGCUUUUUCAGCAAGCACCAUCUGUAGUGUCGUAGCUCUCUGUGGGGAGACUCCUCCUGCCUGCUGUCCAGUGCUGCUGUAAUCCUCUGUCCAAGGACCAAGCCUGUGGUGGCUGCAGCAGAACUGGAUGGAUGCUCACGGGACUGCGUACUUGACUCCAGGGACCUCUGGCCUCAGGGGUGUCUCACACAUGGACAAGAUGAGGUCACCUCUUGUCCUCAUUCCUCUAUGAAAGAUGACAUGAGUGGAGCCAUAUGAAAUAGAGCCGUAGCAGCCAUUCCAGAGGAACUGCCUUCUUACAAGUCCUGUUUUCUAUACCUCUGAACUGGACAAAACCACCAACAUUCCAACUCAGCAGAGAAACCAGAAUGUCCUGUUGAAAGGACUAUCAAUGAUCUUUUACCUAGCGACGACUUCACCUGACCAGUGAAGUACAAAUCUAGCUUUACCUCAUCUUUUUAUCAAUGAACACUUCACCUGAUCAAUUACUUGGUCUUACACCAAUAAACUCUUCUUAAAAAAACAGCUUACCUCAAACAAACAAAAAAACAGCUUACCUCAUCUAUCUCUCUUUUUUUCCCAUAAGAAUCCUGAGACCCUUUCCUAUAAUCAGGACACUAUUUGGUUUUCUACCUAAUUCUGUGUACCCCGAGUUGCAGUUCUUUGGUCCCAAAUAAACACCUUGCCUCUGAA